rnacentral:rRNA from 1 species
UAGCGUAGGGGGCAAGCGUUGUCCGGAUUUAUUGGGCGUAAAGAGCGUGUAGGCGGCCAGACAGGUCCGUUGUGAAAACUCGAGGCUCAACCUCGAGACGUCGAUGGAAACCGUCUGGCUAGAGUCCGGAAGAGGAGAGUGGAAUUCCUGGUGUAGCGGUGAAAUGCGCAGAUAUCAGGAAGAACACCCGUGGCGGAAGGCGGCUCUCUGGGACGGUACUGACGCUGAGACGCGAAAGCGUGGGGAGCGAACAGG